CCUAAGUUGAAUAUUGUUUCAUUUUCGAUAUGUAUGCUCCUUUUCUAUGCAACCGAUGCUCAAGAGUCUAUUCCAAGUUGGAACUGCUCCGUUAACAACGGCUCUUGUGGAAUUAAACUAGCAGAUGAUGGUGACGGAGGUUGGGAACUUGAUUCCAAAAAUGAGGACCGAUUCCAUUGGAAUAGAAGAGUUUUGGUGUGCAUCGUUGCUCCCUUGGUCACUGCAUUUGCCAUUGUAGUUUUGGUCAUUU